rnacentral:lncRNA from 1 species
AUGGCAAAAGAUCCCUGUGCAUCAUCGUUUGGGAGCGAUCUAAAAUGUCAAAGGUGUCCUUUUGAUGUCGGGCAGCGCUCCGGCUCAGCCCACCGCCAGGAGAGACUGCUGCCCCAAAUAAACAGCUACAGGAGAGAUGAAAUGAAAGAGUGGAUUACAGCGAAGGGAAAACAGGUAAACUUGCUCAGAGCUGUCGUUUGUGGGAGAGGCCACAGUUUGAUUCUCUCAGAUCUAACAUCUUGUGGUUGUUAAAGAGAGGGAGAAGGAGACAUAAAGAGAAUGUCAAAAGAGAGAGAAUGGCUAAUACAAUUUGGGUCGUGUU